CCCAGUCGACUUCUCUGUGCGAGGUCCAAGGGUCAGUGUCAGUGUAAGCGAUGAGAGUGGAGAAUGUGAGAGUCCUAAAUGUGGGCCUGCAGUAAAGGGAGAUGUGUUCCCAUCAUUCCAUGAGAAACUCUGAAGGAAGAUUCCUUGGGAGCACUGGCACACUUGGAGAUACUGUGCUAUUGGAGGGAAGAUUAUAUUGAAUGGAGUGUUCCUAAUGUCUGUAGUGAUGGAAUUCCAGACACACAAGUUAG
rnacentral:lncRNA from 1 species